ensembl:lncRNA
CUCUUCCUUGGGCAGACACCAUAUCCUCCUCCUUCUUUUGCAUUUGUCCCUGAAGACCUUCAGUCACAUUUGCUAACUCUUCUACUUUUGCUACUGCAACUCUAGAUCUAACUUGGCUUGCCUAAGUUGUUUUCGAAGUUGCUUGAUUUCCACAUUUUGCUCAGUUACUGUUUUCAGAAGUUGAUUAGACUUUAGUUUUUGGCUUUCAAAUACAUGAAUCUGGGCCUCAGUCAUGCUCCUGCUAAAGGUUUCUGUAGUCUCUUCAACUCCUGAGAAACAUUCUGCCAAAGUUCCACAGCCUGAGUCUUUUCUUGAUUGGCUAGCUGGAGUUGCUCUUGAAGGUUCCUGGCUGUUUCAUCAUCUGGAAAUGUAUAAUUUUCCAUCUCCAAGCUAAAGGGAAAGGCCUCCAAUUGCUUUUCAACAGGAUCUUUUAAUUCUCUUUCCUUUUCUUUGAUGACAUUUUCAAGUUGUAGUUUCAUCUCACUCAUCUGUUUCUGAAUGGAUGAAUAUUUGAAAAAAUGUUCUAUUUGGUAUUGCCUAAGAACUUCAUUUAGUCUUUGAUUUUGGUCUCUCAGAAGGUCGAUUUCUAUGGCCAUUUCAAUCUCAUUUUUGUUUGGCACUUUCACCACCUUUCUCUUUCCUCUAAAAAACCUGAGCUCGCUGUGGGGGAAAACAAAAAACCAAACAACACUCAUAGGUUCUCAAGCAGCGGUUCUGCCACGGUGUAAUCGGCACCCCACUUGCUUCGCAGUCCUGCCGCGUUUCCCUCUCCUGGGGGAGUUCCUGGCCCAUGGAGGAGACUUCACGUUGCAGCUGGCUGCCACGCACCGAGUGAGCCAGAGGCAGCUGGAAGGAGGGCAGUCUAGUAGCAAGGUCUGCACAGGAGCUGGGGGACAACCACAGGCCCAUGGGGAAGCCCAGCCCAGAGUGCUGUUAUUUUUGAUGGAAGGGUUUCCCCACCCAUGUUCAGCGGGAGAACAGGAAGAUUGAGCCCUAAUUGGCCUCCUCUGUGAGCACAAAGAAGAACGAGGAUGUGUAAGCAUGCUGACACGCUGCAGGGAGAAGUAAGAACACCUGAGAUUCUGUUGUUUACCCGGACAAGUGCCAUGGAGGGAGGCAGACAGAUGAAUCCUGCUCAACUCUAAUUGCUUGGGGCCAGGUCUUAGUGAACAAAGCCGAGGUGCGCCAGUCACUCAGGGCUCUAUGUCGAAGGUGGACAAGAGCCUCAUGGCCUUCCAGAUUUUAACCCAAUUCUGUGUCUUUCCUUUUUUAUCCUUGUCACUCCUUGGUCAGGUUCAAGCUCGUAGGCUGGUUCCUACUCUGUCUUUUCAUAGCUUGAUGGCUCCUUUCUUCUUAGUGCUGGAGACCUACUGAAAGACAUCUUGGUUGCCUCCAAGUUUUGGCAAUUACAAGUAAAGCUGCUAUAAACAUCUGUGUGUAGGUUUUCGUGUGAACUUUAAGUUUUCAACUCCUUUAAGUAAAUUACCCAGGAGCAUGAGAGCUGGGUUGUAUGGUAACAACAUGCUUAGUUUUGUUAGAAACUGCCAAGUAGUCUUCCAAAGUGGCUGUGCUACUUUACAUUCCUAUCAGCUCCAUAUCCUGCCUGCAUUUGGUGGUGUGAGCAUUCUAGAUUUUGGCCAUUCUAAUAUGUACAUAGUGGUUGUUUUAAAAUUUGCAUUUCCAUGAUAAUACGUGUAUUAGGGUCCUCCGGAGGAACAAAGACAAUAGAAUGCAUAUGUAAGGGGGGAUGUAUGAUUGGCUUACGCGGCCAGAGCUGGAUAGUUCCACGGUGGCUGGCUGUAGGGUAGAGAGCCAGGGAAAUUAGUAGCUUCUCAGUCCUGGAAGCUGGAAGCCUCAGAACAUCAAGGACCACUGAUGCAGCCUUAGACCAAGAUGGG